rnacentral:rRNA from 1 species
AUGAAGGCGUCUAUCAAGUUCCGCGACGACGACCGGCCGCUGAUGCGGGCCAAGGUGCCGAUCGGCGUGCUCGGGCUGCCGUUCCAGUCCGGCCUCUCCGCUGGCGGCGAUCCCCGGGAGCUCCGCUUCGAUCUCUCCACCGCUUUCGCCUCCGGGCCAGCUCUCCGCUUAUCGUAUCGCCCCAACGACCCUGGUCUCCCCUUCGCCAUCUCCAUCCGCGCCGGUGCCGGAGCCCUCGGCUCCCCUGUCCGGGCCCCCUUCUUCCUCGCCGCCGAGUUCAACCUCCUCUCUGCCAACUCUGGAUCUCCUGGCUUCUUCCUCCUCCUCAAGCCCCGCCUUGGCGAUUUCUCACUUUCCCACACGCUCCGGUCGUCCACGUCUCCUCCGCCCCGUACGGUCGGGGUGGUCUCCGACGGCGAAGGGCGCGACCGCGAGGACGAGCUGAGCUACAAGGCGUUCUCGUUGAGCGGGAGCGGGUUCGCGGCGGACGUUGCCGCGGCGGGGAGGAGCGGCGGCGUCGGCGCGCUGCUGUCCGGGAUGCGGUUGACCACGAGGAGCGUGCUCCCGCUCUGGGGCAGGGCGAGCAUGCGGUUCAACUGGGGGAUCCGCGCGCCACCGGGGCUGCAGGCAGCGUUCGCCGACGACCGCAAGGACGCGCGCGUGCCCGUCUGCAAGAUGCCGCUGCUGGUCAUCAACAAGAUCUCCAUCGAGCAGGCGCCACACGCCGACAAGAAGAAAGACAGCAAAGCAGAUGUAGAUGUCUCGCUGCCUGCCAUCGACGCCACGGACGCGUUGGAUAGAGCGGGUCACGCCGCCGACGGCGAGGGGUUCUCACUGAUGAGGCGGCAACUGGAGGCGAUGAACGCGGAGAGCGGGAUGCUCCGCCGCGCCGUGGACGAGCUGCGCACCGAGAUCGGGCGCGGCAGGGCCGCGUCCGUGGCAGCGGUAGGGAGGCCGCCGCCACAGCCGCAUCACGGGUUCUCGGUGAAGCCGGAUCGUCGGGGCGGUGGGAAGGAGCCAGCGGCGGAGAACUCAGCGAUGCCAGCGCCGGACGAGGUGGGGGAGGAGUUGAAGAGGGCACUGGAGGCGCGCCGGAGAUGA